rnacentral:rRNA from 1 species
AGAGUUUGAUCAUGGCUCAGAAUCAACGCUGGCGGCGUGCCUAACACAUGCAAGUCGCACGAGAAAGUGGAGCAAUCCAUGAGUAAAGUGGCGUACGGGUGAGUAACACGUGACUAACCUACCUUCGAGUGGGGAAUAACCUCGGGAAACCGGGGCUAAUACCGCAUAACAUCUUCUGGCUGAGAUGCCGGUUGAUCAAAGUAGCAAUGCGCUUGAAGAGGGGGUCGCGGCUGAUUAGCUAGUUGGUGGGGUAACGGCCCACCAAGGCGAUGAUCAGUAGCCGGCCUGAGAGGGCGCACGGCCACACUGGAACUGAAACACGGUCCAGACUCCUACGGGAGGCAGCAGUGGGGAAUUUUGCGCAAUGGGGGAAACCCUGACGCAGCAACGCCGCGUGGAGGAUGAAGUCCCUUGGGACGUAAACUCCUUUCGAUCGGGACGAUUAUGACGGUACCGGAAGAAGAAGCCCCGGCUAACUUCGUGCCAGCAGCCGCGGUAAUACGAGGGGGGCAAGCGUUGUUCGGAAUUAUUGGGCGUAAAGGGCGCGUAGGCGGUGCGGUAAGUCUGUUGUGAAAUCUCCGGGCUCAACUCGGAGUCUGCAUCAGAAACUGCCGUGCUUGAGUGUGGGAGAGGUGAGUGGAAUUCCCGGUGUAGCGGUGAAAUGCGUAGAUAUCGGGAAGAACACCUGUGGCGAAAGCGGCUCACUGGACCACAACUGACGCUGAUGCGCGAAAGCUAGGGGAGCAAACAGGAUUAGAUACCCNNGUAGUCC